UACGUAGGGUGCAAGCUUUGUCCGGAAUUAUUGGGCGUAAAGAGCUCGUAGGCGGUCUGUCGCGUCUGCUGUGAAAACUCAGGGCUUAACCCUGAGCUUGCAGUGGGUACGGGCAGACUAGAGUGCGGUAGGGGAGACUGGAAUUCCUGGUGUAGCGGUGAAAUGCGCAGAUAUCAGGAGGAACACCGGUGGCGAAGGCGGGUCUCUGGGCAACAACUGACGCUGAGGAGCGAAAGCGUGGGGAGCGAACAGG
rnacentral:rRNA from 1 species